rnacentral:rRNA from 1 species
UACGUAGGGGGCAAGCGUUGUCCGGAAUUAUUGGGCGUAAAGAGCGCGUAGGCGGUCCGAUAAGUCGGCUGUGAAAGUCCAGGGCUCAACCCUGGAAAGCCGGCCGAUACUGUCGGACUAGAGUCCGGAAGAGGCGAGUGGAAUUCCCGGUGUAGCGGUGAAAUGCGCAGAUAUCAAGAGGAACACCUGAGGUGAAGACGGGUUGCUGGGCUGACACUGACGCUGAGGCGCGAAAGCCAGGGGAGCAAACGGG